rnacentral:rRNA from 1 species
AGUGAACGCUGGCGGUAGGCCUAACACAUGCAAGUCGAACGGCAGCACAGUAAGAGCUUGCUCUUACGGGUGGCGAGUGGCGGACGGGUGAGGAAUACAUCGGAAUCUACUUUUUCGUGGGGGAUAACGUAGGGAAACUUACGCUAAUACCGCAUACGACCUACGGGUGAAAGCAGGGGAUCUUCGGACCUUGCGCGAUUGAAUGAGCCGAUGUCGGAUUAGCUAGUUGGCGGGAUAAAGGCCCACCAAGGCGACGAUCCGUAGCUGGUCUGAGAGGAUGAUCAGCCACACUGGAACUGAGACACGGUCCAGACUCCUACGGGAGGCAGCAGUGGGGAAUUUUGGACAAUGGGCGCAAGCCUGAUCCAGCCAUACCGCGUGGGUGAAGAAGGCCUUCGGGUUGUAAAGCCCUUUUGUUGGGAAAGAAAAGCAGCAGGUUAAUACCCCGCUGUUCUGACGGUACCCAAAGAAUAAGCACCGGCUAACUUCGUG